rnacentral:rRNA from 1 species
GUAGCGGCGAGUGAAGCGGCAAAAGCUCAAAUUUGAAAUCUGGCGUCUUUGGCGUCCGAGUUGUAAUUUGAAGAAGGUAUCUUUGGGCCCGGCUCUUGUCUAUGUUCCUUGGAACAGGACGUCACAGAGGGUGAGAAUCCCGUGCGAUGAGAUGACCCGGGUCUGUGUAAAGUUCCUUCGACGAGUCGAGUUGUUUGGGAAUGCAGCUCUAAGUGGGUGGUAAAUUCCAUCUAAAGCUAAAUAUUGGCGAGAGACCGAUAGCGAACAAGUACAGUGAUGGAAAGAUGAAAAGAACUUUGAAAAGAGAGUGAAAAAGUACGUGAAAUUGUUGAAAGGGAAGGGCUUGAGAUCAGACUUGGUAUUUUGCAUGUUGCUCUCUCGGGGGCGGCCGCUGCGGUUUACCGGGCCAGCAUCGGUUUGGAGCGGCAGGAUAAUGGCGGAGGAAUGUGGCACGGCUUCUGCUGUGUGUUAUAGCCUCUGACGAUACUGCCAGCCUAGACCGAGGACUGCGGUUUUUACCUAGGAUGUUGGCAUAAUGAUCUUAAGUCGCCCGUCUUGAAACACGGACCAAGGAGUCUAACGUCUAUGCGAGUGUUUGGGUGUAAAACCCGUACGCGUAAUGAAAGUGAACGAAGGUGGGGGCCCAUUAGGGUGCACCAUCGACCGAUCCUGAUGUGUUCGGAUGGAUUUGAGUAAGAGCAUAGCUGUUGGGACCCGAAAGAUGGUGAACUAUGCCUGAAUAGGGUGAAGCCAGAGGAAACUCUGGUGGAGGCUCGUAGCGGUUCUGACGUGCAAAUCGAUCGUCGAAUUUGGGUAUAGG